CGUGCACCUGGCAACCGUGACGCCCGUGACGCACGCUCCGUCAUUCUUAAAUGGAAGAAGUUUGGAGUCCCCAAGUCUCUUCCUGGAGCCAGCCACCCGGCCAAACUGAGCAAUUGGGGGAGAAGGGCCUUGGUCAGGGAAGAACCCAAUGGUCACUCCGACAGAGCUCUAGAGUUCCUAUGUGUAGGGUUUGAUGAAGAGGGCCGUAUGAUCUGGAGACAUCAUUCAGCCUAUCCCAAUCAAUCCUGGAGAGAAGGUGGAUGUAAGUUAAAACACACAAACACACACAGUGGGAUUAUUUACUCAUUGCAGUGACUUCUGACAGAUGGGGAGGUUAAGGUGGCCAUUGAUGUUGGUCGUCAGGGAGGAUGAUCAGAACUGGGCCACAGUGGAGUCUGCCAAGGACAUAGCCCAGAUGAUGCGUGCAGCGGGUAACGAGCACCUACUGACCAUUCUACUAUACCCUGAUGCUGGACACCUCAUUGAGCUGCCCUGCACACCCCACUUCAGAGCCACUUCAGAGCCAGCAACUUCAUAGUGCCUCAAACACAACAGAAAGUGAUCAUGUUGUGUGGGGAGGGUACCCAAAGCAGCACGCCAAUGCUCAAGAAGACUCCCGGGAAAAGAGCCUUGGCUUUCUACGGCAACACCUGUACCCCAGCCAUGACUCUGUCGCUAAGGCCAAGCUAUGAUGUCACGCCCGAGAAGCCUCCAGGACCUAGUAUGAACGAGUCUCUCAUUCACUGUACUGUCUGAGUUUCAACCUGCCAAUAGUGUUAACACCUGUGCCUGUAACCUGUAACCUAACUGCCAUAGUACACAGAUGACUGAUUCCAUUUUUUGAUUCAUGAGGAAAUAUUAGGAAAUGUAUUGUCUAUGAUGUUUAUAAUAAAUCAGAGGAAGGAUAUGAGCAAUAUCUGUUGCUAUUGAGAGCAUGAGAGCGAUUUGGUAUGUUUCUUGCAGUUCUUCAAAAUACCACACGAGGGUAAUGUAUGCACGUAGUAUGUAGUGGUGGUCAAUGGAUGAGUCCUGGGGCUGUAUUCCAAACGUCUCAGAGUAGGAGUGUUGAUCGAGUAUAAGGAACCCCCUGUACAUUUAACCUAUUUCAUUAUGAUCUGAAAUCCAGAACUGAUCCUAGAUCAGCACUCCUGCUCUGAGAUGUUUCAUACAUAGGUUGCAGUCUAAACCAGGGUUU